GCAACGCUCCUACAUAGUACCACUUCGCUAACUAAAGGAUGACGAGCGACCGAGUAACCUAUAAAAAAAGGUCAGACUCCUUUUCCACUCAUACAUUUUAUCGGCCUUUUGGUUACGGUAAGGUGUAAUAUUUGUUCUUAUCAUUUUAAAAUCUAAUAUAUUCAUUCUAAAAUUAAAUUUAUUUUUUAUGGGUAUCAAAUGUGAUUAUGUGUUGUCGCAAUGCAUAGGCAUUGUACGGUGUAAAACACUGUUUUGCACCAUAGACAACUAGCAUAUAACUUGUGCUAAUGCUACAAUCCCAGGAAAGGGAGGGGUUGAUGGCAGCGACGAUGUGAGUGAGGGGAGGGGGCAGCGGGACGCAACGGAAGGGGAGGCUGGGGCGGCAGGGUCAAAGGGAGGGAGAGGAGGGAUGAGAGGUGAUGGAUGAUCCGAAUAAUAUUAUCCAUUAGAUUUGAAUAAGGGAG
rnacentral:lncRNA from 1 species